UCCAGUGACUAUAGCGAGGAGGAUACACCUGUUCCCAUCUCGAACACAGUAGUUAAGCUCCUUAGCGCCGACGGUACUCGGUGGGUGACUGCCCGGGAGAAUAGGACAUCGCUGGUU
rnacentral:rRNA from 1 species